rnacentral:sRNA from 1 species
AGUCGAAUACGUGAUUCGCGGUAAGCAGCAACUCCAAGGAAGUCCCCAGUUUUCUGGACCAGUGCUCCCGUUGAUCUGUUGGUAGCGUUCCGCAAUCACGUUUCUUUAGUUACAUGAUGAGGUAAGUAGUUGUGAAUACCGGUGUUGUUAAGUGGUUCAACGAGAGCAAGGGUUUCGGUUUCAUCACCCCCGAUGAUGGCGGCAAGGACGUGUUCGUGCACUUCUCCGCGAUCAACGGUUCGGGCUUCAAGACCCUGGCCGAAGGCCAGAAGGUUUCCUUCGAGAUUCAGGAAACCGCCAAGGGUCUGGCCGCGGGUGACGUAACCGCGCUGUAAGACUGCCCGCACGGCGCGCCUCCGGGCGCGCUUCGGGAAGCAGAGGGCCGCCUUCGGGCGGCCCUUUUUUG